AGCACAGCUGAUGGUGCGCUCCAUCAACCACUGGUGAUGCGCCGUACGUCCUCGGCUGGAGCGGUCAAGGCGGGGGAGCCCAAUCGAAUGGACUAGUGCACCAUUAAUCUUAACGCUCCAGUGGACAUGCAUCCACUAAUGCUUGGCAGCUAUGAUUCCCACGUAUGAUUCCAUUUAUUAUGAUUCAUUACUCGCCCCUACAUCGCGGGGCAUGGGGUUUUGGGAGCGUGCUGGUGUGAACGUGUGUGCGCUGCCCAUGCGCACAACGCGGACCGGACCAUCAGACAUGGAAAGUGGCAGGUCCAUUCAAAGGACGUCCUGUAGAUAGAACACGGGCAUUAGAUGUGAGCCUGAACUGUGGUUUCAUGGAGACAGCUUCCAUAAUAGUACACAUGUAAGUAACUGGCGAUCGUGUGUUGCUCGACAACAUGGCUCCCGUCCACAUUGCAGCCCCACUUCGCGUUCAUGCCCGCCUGACAUCCCCAUAACGUUCCACCGUCUCUACCUCAGCCCGUCCUGGCCCGUCCGGCUCCGCUGUUUCAUGUCUGCAACUCGCCUCUCAAGAAUGCGCCCCAUGAGCAACCCCCAUGAGCGUGACGAAGCGAAGGGGAAGCCGAGGCGAGCUGGGGAAAACGCGCACGGCACGGUAAUCCUCAACGACUGUGACCACAACAGUCAAAGAUGUGACAGCGCCGAAGCGCCGAAUGGUUAAGCAUUUAG
rnacentral:lncRNA from 1 species